ACUAUAUCUAGCCCAUACUCCUCCUCAUCACUACUACUAUAAGUCAGUCAAAUAAAACAUUUACCAUACAUCUAAAGUAUAGGAGAUAGAAAUUUAAUUAUCAAUGGCGCUAUAGAGAAAGUACCGUAAGGGAAAGAUGAAAGAAUUAUUAAAAGUAGAAAAAAGCAAAGUUUACCCCUUGUACCUUUUGCAUAAUGAUUUAACUAGUAAUAAUUUAGCAAAGAGACCUUAAGUUAAAUUACCCGAAACCAGACGAGCUACUUAUGAGCAGUAACUAGAACAAACUCAUCUAUGUGGCAAAAUAGUGAGAAGACUUAUAGGUAGAGGUGAAAAGCCUAACGAGCCUGGUGAUAGCUGGUUGUCCAAGAAAGGAAUUUCAGUUCAACAUUAAACAAUACUAAAAACUAUAUUAAGUUCCAACGUAUGUUUAACUGUUAGUCUAAAAAGGUACAGCUUUUUAGAAAUGGAUACAACCUUUACUAGAGAGUAACAUAAAACUUAAACCAUAGUUGGCCUAAAAGCAGCCAUCAAUUAAGAAAGCGUUCAAGCUCAACAACAAAAACAAGUUUUAAUUUCAACAAUAAACAAAAAACUCCUAGCCUGACUAUUGGACUAAUCUAUUUAAUUAUAGAAGAAAUACUGUUAAUAUGAGUAACAAGAAAAACUUUCUCCUUGCACA
rnacentral:rRNA from 1 species